AAGCAACCUCCCAACAGCUAGCCCGUCCCCCCAAAUCCAACAAACAACAUUAAUAACCCCAAAACCACAAAACACCAUAAAACAAACCAUUUUUCCUCCCUAGUAUGGGUGACAGAAAAGGAACAAGGCGCCAUAGAGAAAGUACCGCAAGGGAAAGCUGAAAGAGAAAUGAAAAAACCCAGUAAAGAAUCAAAAAGUAGAGAUAAUGCCUCGUACCUUUUGCAUCAUGAACUAGUUAGUAAACACCAAGCAAAGUGUACUUUAGUUUGAGACCCCGAAACUUAGCGAGCUACUCCAAGACAGCCUAUUACAGGGCCAACCCGUCUCUGUGGCAAAAGAGUGGGAAGAUCUUAGAGUAGAGGUGACAGACCUACCGAGCCUAGUUAUAGCUGGUUACCUACAAAAUGAAUAGAAGUUCAGCCUCUAAAUUUCUCUUUUCCCCUCUGGUUCAUACCCCAAAGUGAUAGCAAGAAAAACAGAGUGUUAUUCAAAGGGGGAACAGCCCCUCUGAACAAAGAUACAACUUUAAUAGGAGGCAAAAGACCAAAAGACAGCAAAGCACAUACCUUAGUGGGCCUAAAAGCAGCCACCCUUAUAGAAAGCGUUAAAGCUCAAGUACUAUGCCCCUUAAAAUUAAGACAAUCCCAUCUUAAGCCCCUCCCCAGAUUAGUAGGUCUUUUCAUGCAAACAUGAAAAAGAUAAUGCUAGCAUGAGUAAUAAGAGGAGCCAGAUCCUCUCCCGGCACCUGUUUAAACCAGAACGAACAUGCACUGAAAAUUAACGCCCCCAACUCAAAGAGGGCCCUGAGAAUAUACCACAAUGCCCAAGAAAUACUCUCAAAACACAAGCGUUAACCCCACACAGGAGUGCCAAAGGAAAGACUAAAAGAAAAAGAAGGAACUCGGCAAACACUGGCCUCGCCUGUUUACCAAAAACAUCGCCUCUUGCAUAUUAAACAUAUAAGAGGUCCCGCCUGCCCUGUGACUUAUUAGUUUAACGGCCGCGGUAUUUUGACCGUGCGAAGGUAGCGUAAUCACUUGUCUUUUAAAUGGAGACCUGUAUGAAUGGCAUAACGAGGGCUAAGCUGUCUCCUUUUUCCAGUCAAUGAAAUUAAUCUUCCCGUGCAGAAGCGGGAAUUCACACAUAAGACGAGAAGACCCUAUGGAGCUUUAAACAAAAGGCAGUUCAUAUUAAAACAACUAGACAAAAAGAACAAACCAAGUGAUAUCUGCCCUUAUGUUUUUGGUUGGGGCGACCACGGGGGAACAAAAAUCCCCCAUGUGGAAUAGGAACUCUCCUUCCUCAAAACAAGAGCCACAGCUCUAAUAAACAGAACUUCUGACCCGCAAGAUCCGGCAAAGCCGAUCAACGGACCGAGUUACCCUAGGGAUAACAGCGCAAUCCUCUUUUAGAGCCCAUAUCGACAAGAGGGUUUACGACCUCGAUGUUGGAUCAGGACAUCCUAAUGGUGCAGCCGCUAUUAAGGGUUCGUUUGUUCAACGAUUAAAGUCCUACGUGAUCUGAGUUCAGACCGGAGUAAUCCAGGUCAGUUUCUAUCUAUGAGAUGCUCUUUUCUAGUACGAAAGGACCGAAAAGAGGAGGCCAAUGACAUAGGCAUGCCUCACUCCCACCUGCUGAACACAGCUAAAACAGGUAAAGGGGCAUACCCCCACUGCCUGAGAAAAAAGGCAA
rnacentral:rRNA from 1 species